UACGUAGGGUGCGAGCGUUUGUCCGGAAUUAUUGGGCGUAAAGGGCUCGUAGGCGGUUUGUCGCGUCGGGAGUGAAAUCCACUGGCUUAACUGGUGGCUUGCUUUCGAUACGGGCAGACUGGAGGUAUGCAGGGGGAGAACGGAAUUCCUGGUGUAGCGGUGAAAUGCGCAGAUAUCAGGAGGAACACCGGUGGCGAAGGCGGUUCUCUGGGCAUUACCUGACGCUGAGGAGCGAAAGUGUGGGGAGCGAACAGG
rnacentral:rRNA from 1 species